UCAUUUUUCAGCUUAUUGGUAUCCCUCUUCCUCUCUAAAAAACGUCCAUACUGGAAAUCCCUCUUCCGCGCCGGUGGCGGCAGAGCAUUCCAAAUGAACCUCAAACCACCACCAAAUGGAGCCUCUAAAUCCCCCUCUCUCUAAAUAUGGCAUUAGUUUCUUCCUAACCCCCGCCAAUUUUCGAAAUUAAGCUAAUAAAACUAAGAACCCUAGAUCCCCAAAUUUGAAAUUAAGUGGUGAUUAUGCAUAAUCUGGAUUCAAGAUUUUAGGGUUAUGAUUCCUUAACACUAAUACCAUAAGCUGGUAACAAAUUUUGAAGGAAAUCAAGAGGAAUUUAAGGAGAAUAGCCUACCUUCAGAUUGGUGACUUGCUCUGAUAAAUGUUGAGAGGCUUGAAGAUGAAGAUGUAGAGAAAUCCAAAGGUCAUUUAGGGCUGAUAGGUAUUAGAAUAAGAGUUGGCAUUGAUCAAAAUGGCAUGGCACACAAGACUUGGAUGCUUUUGAGGCUUCUUGUGAAUGAAGAAAAAGUAUAAUUAUUGCUUAGGUUUAGGUGGUUGACUUUGGUCAACUGUAUGACCAAAAAGUCAAUAGUUGACCAAAAGUCAAUUGUAGAUCAAAAAGUGUAAUUUGUAUGUAAUCUGAUUCUAGACUUUGUAUGAUGAACUUGGAAGUUCUUGAAAUGAAAAAAAAGGAUUUUUUAAA